rnacentral:sRNA from 1 species
GCAUCCAGAACAGUGCCCCGGAGACAGAA